CACUCUCCUUCUCACUCUAACGGUUCCCUUUAUCUCUCACGCCUCCACCACCACCUCUCACUCUCAUGGCUCCACUGCCACCGUGAUACCUCCACUGCCACCACGACGCCUUACUCUCCCUCUCCCUUUAUCUCUCACACCUCCACCGCCGCCUCUCACUCACACGGCUCCACCGCCUCCAGCGCCACAGCCGCCGACUCUCACUCUCACUCUCUCAGAUCAGCCGAGACCAAAGACUCAAAGAUCUGUCUUUUCCGCCUUCAGGUUUGACAUAAGGCAUUUCGUGCAAAUAAUGUUGAAAGUGCAAAAUCAAGACUUAGCAUAUGUGCAAAAGAUAUUCGAGAACAAGUAGAAAGAUUGAGAAAUACAUCAGACCUGUGCUCACAGCUUGGAGCAGUUCUGGGUAUGCUUGGUGAUUGCAGCUGAGCUAUACGAGAUGCCGCAUCUGCAGUCAAAUAUUUUGAAGAGAGUGUCAAUUUCCUUUUAAAAGUGCCUAAAGAUGAUUUAGAGAUUGAUAGCACAUACUCUUUGUCUCUCUAAAUAAAAUUGGUGACCUUAAAUACUAUGAUGAAGAUUUGCAAGCUGCAAGUUCAUAUUAUUUUCAAGCAUUGGAUAUUCGCCACAAUGCCAUUAAGCAGCAUUCUCAACCAUCUUAGACCAUAGAUGUGGCUGUAUCACUUGCAAAAGUUGCUGAUGUGGACAGAAAUAUUGGGAAUGAGAAAACUGCAGUAGAUGGAUUCCAAGAAGCCAUAGAAAUGCUGCAAUGUAUGAAACUAAAUCCUUAAGAAGUUGGCCUUGAACAGCGGAGAUUGUCGCAGCUGCUGUUUUAUUUGAGGAACUGCAUACAUUAUACUGUUAACGUAACUCACAAACAGUAGCUAAUAAUUUAAUUUUGAUGAUAGUAUUGUGUUUUGAUGAUAGAAUUUUUUUAAAGUGUGAUGAUUUAAAGUAUUGUGUGGGUAUAAAGUUUGAUAAUAA